rnacentral:rRNA from 1 species
GAUGAACGCUAGCGGCAGGCUUAAUACAUGCAAGUCGAGGGGCAGCCAGGUCGUGUAGCAAUACAGAUGUUGGCGACCGGCAAACGGGUGCGGAACACGUACAGAACCUUCCUUCGAGCGGGGAAUAGCCCAGAGAAAUUUUGGAUUAAUACCCCAUAGUAUAUUAGAGUGGCAUCACUUUAAUAUUAAAGAUUUAUCACUUGAAGAUGGCUGUGCGGCUGANAGGGUUAGUUGGCGGGGUAACGGCCCACCAAGCCAGCGAUCAGUAACUGGU